rnacentral:lncRNA from 1 species
ACAGAAGCCUGCUGUUAUCUUUCUGAUCACUUAUUUACUGUUUCACUGUUUCCUUUCUCAUGAGAACGGACCUAGCACGGAUGAUUCAGUGUUCCCACUGUCUACAUGCCUGCGCCUGGCAUGGUGACUUGCAGGUGGUAAAUGCUCCAUGCAGGUAUGUGCCCGGAUAAAAUAGUGUCUGGUUAGCAGCUCAGCAAGCAAGCCACACUCUUGAUCUCUACACUUCAUCCUCUGAGUACCCUUGUACUGUAAUAACAACCAACAGUGCCAGAAGUGCUCCGAGGGCUCUCCUCUGUAAACACAUCUGAUGGCUUUUUACCACCGGGCAAUGUUUGUUUUUUGUUUGUAUGCUAAUGCUUAUUUUUGCGUGUAUUGUACACAUGUGUGGGCAUGCAGACCAUGGAUGGAGGCCACAGGUUGAUGCCACCUGCCUUCCUCCAUCACUUCUCCAUCUUAGUUUUGAGACAGGCUCUCUCCAGAACUCAUCAAUGUGGCUUGGGUGGCUUGCUGAUGAUAGGUUUCUGCCUACCAGCACUUGUGUUCCAGAUGUAUGCUGCCAUGCCUGGCCUUUUAAAGUAGGUUUUCAUAAUAUAGGUUCUGGGGAUCCAAGUUCAGAUCCUCAUGUUGACACAGCAAGCACUUUACUGAAAACCUUUUUUCUGCUUCUCUUUUAAUUAGCAUAGGAAGUAAUAUUCACUAUAUUCAUAUUCGUUAUGACAUUUUCAUUAUAAUAUGUUUUACUUUCGGUCUCCCUGGCUUGUCCCUUUCAACCUUUAUGUCAUACGUGUCUUAACACCCUCCUUCCCUUCCUAAACCCUCUUCUUCCCCUUUCAUGGUUCCCUUUCUAGUUUCAUGACAAUAGUCAUAUUCAAACACAUACAUGAAUAUACACACAGCAUACCAAAGUUAAAGACUAGGCUCUACAUCAGAGAGAGUAUGUCUUAAUAUUUGUCUUUCUGACUCUGUUACCUGGAUUAACAUCAUAUUUUACAGAACCAUCCAUUUUCCUACAAAUUCCAUUCAUUUUUCUUUAUGACUAAAAAAAAAUCAUACUGCAUACAAGCACCAUAUUUCCCAUUGUAUAUUUAUCUGUGGAUGGACAUCUAAUCUAGGCCCUUGUAUGUCCUUGCUGCUGUGACUAGCACAAAAGUAAACAUGAAUGUGCAAGUAUUUCUGUGGUAUGCUGACUUACAGUCUUCUGGGCAUAGAUAUUAUGAGUGAGUGGGAUAGCUGCCUCAUGUGGUAGUUCUAUUAUUAAUUGUUUGAGAAACCACCAUGCUGAUUUCCAUAGUGACUGAACUAGUUUACAUUACCACCAACAGGGAAUAAGAAUUCCUCUUUUCACAUAGCUUCACGGGCAACCAUCUGAUGCUUGAAAAGUAGACUUUACUGUUUGAAUUUUCAGUUGCAGAUGAGGGAUCCAAGGCACAAAAGGCGAAGCUGUUCCAGGUAGAGCCAUAGAGUCAAGCUAGACUGUGAACUCCAGUAUGUAGGUUCCUCAGCAUCGGGGGUGGAGUUGCUCAACAUUUCCCCACAUUGUGGGUGAAGGACUUAAGAUGUAAGCGGAUUUCCCACAAUCAAAGCUUAUUAGAUAGACAAGGAUUCGACUGGGCCAGAGACAUCCAUCUACAAGCUAGGUUCUUCCCACUCUAUGCCAGUGCCGAGGUAUAACAUUGUGACCCCAGAGACAGAGUUCCAAGAAAAGCCAAGACUGUGUCAAUGGCCCCAAAGGUCAAGAACAUUCAUCAUCAGAGAGGCAAAGGGGAAAAAGGAACUCCCUGCCUGUCUACAACGUCCUUCUAGGUACAAACCUGUAAUGUCAGCUGUGGCUCUGGUAAGUACAUCUUAAGAGAAAUGUGUCGAGACGUUGGGGGAAGCCUGACAAUUACAGGGAAAAGGGAUGUCAGAGAAAAGGGCGCCUUACCAAAUGAGUGUGCAUUUGUCUAAGGAGACAAUAAAUGACAAUGAGUGUGAAUUUAUCUGACAUUUAAUAACUGUAAAGUGUGGACUUGACUUUUAAAGCACCCCCAAACUUCUGGGUGUGGUGGCAUACGCUUAUAAUCUCAGUGGAGGAUGGCAAAGGCAGAACUCUGUGAGUUCUGGGCCAGCCUGGUUCACAUGGUGAAGAGCAGCUCGCCAAACCUAUAUAUAGAGGGAGACUCUG